CGGACGGGUGAGUAAUGUUUGGGAAACUGCCUGAUGGAGGGGGAUAACUACUGGAAACGGUAGCUAAUACCGCAUAACGUCGCAAGACCAAAGAGGGGGACCUUCGGGCCUCUUGCCAUCGGAUGUGCCCAGAUGGGAUUAGCUAGUAGGUGGGGUAACGGCUCACCUAGGCGACGAUCCCUAGCUGGUCUGAGAGGAUGACCAGCCACACUGGAACUGAGACACGGUCCAG
rnacentral:rRNA from 1 species